rnacentral:lncRNA from 1 species
AGUUACAAAGAGAAUCCAGCCUUCAACAGCUGUUGGGGGACGGGGGGAAGUUGUAUGAGUACAUGAGAGACACUUUAAGCAGGCUCACAGGAAUAGAUUUGUGAAUGCUCUCUGGAACCCCAGAAGAUAAAAGAAUAAGUAACUAUGACAGUCAUUUGUAACAAUCGUCUCUUUCCCAAUACACUACCAGCAAGCCGACCCACACCGCCUCCAGUCUUAGUGCCUUCCCGGUCACGCCCUCCCUUCUCCUGAAGGGGGCGGAAUCUCUAAUCCACCCAAGACCCGGUUCCUCGAUUCCCAUCCUUACGACCGAGGAAAAAAGAGUAAAUUUUCCUAUUAUAGCCUUCUCUCGCACCUUCCCCGCUUCCCACCAGCCGUCUCCACUGUCCUCACCGUCCCCAUCCUCAUCCAUGGCGAAAUCUUCGCCCCCAGCCUCGUGAAGAUCUAGCACGUCCGCCAUCUCGCCUUCGAUCGAGAUCUCGUCUGUGCCGCUCAGACACUAGGUACCUCGGGAAACUGUCGCAGAG